rnacentral:piRNA from 1 species
UAAGGUUCCUGCUCCCAGUCUGUUGACGAGU